GUAUAGGGGCUGACACCUGCCCGGUCCUGGAAGGUUAAGGAGAGGGGUUAGAGUAAGCGAAGCUCAGAACUGAAGCCCCAGAAAACGGCGGCCCUAACUAUAACGGUCCUAAGGUAGCCAAAUUCCUUUUCGGGUAAGUUCCGACCCCCACGAAAGGUGUACCAAUUUGGGCACUGUCACAACCAGAGACACGGUGAAAUUAUAGUAACUGUGAAGAUGCAGUUUACACGCGACAGGACGGAAAGACCCCGUUGAGCUUUACAGUAGCCUGAUAUGAAAUUUUGGUACUGUUAGGACAGGAUA
rnacentral:rRNA from 1 species